rnacentral:misc_RNA from 1 species
GAGGAAAGUCCGGGCUCCAGAGGGCAGGGUGCCAGGUAACACCUGGGGGGCGCGAGCCUACGGAAAGUGCAGCAGAAAGUAUACCGCCCAAAAAUGGGGUGCUGCCCCAUUUGAGCGCCAUUCGUGGCUGGGUAAGGGUGAAACGGUGCGGUAAGAGCGCACCGCGCGGCUGGUAACAGGCGUGGCGAUGGUAAACCCCACUCGGAGCAAGACCAAAUAGGAAUCCGUCAGCUGUGGCCCGCAGCGGAUUCGGGUAGGUCGCUACAGGCAGGUGGUGACACCUGUCGCAGAUG